UCAUUCCAGCCGCUUCUCUGG
rnacentral:misc_RNA from 1 species